AUUGAACGCUGGCGGCAGGCCUAACACAUGCAAGUCGAGCGGAGCGGCGGACGGGUGAGUAAUGAUUAGGACUCUGCCUCGUCGUGGGGGAUAACGUCCGGAAACGGGCGCGAAUACCGCAUACUCUCAGAUGAGCCUAUGCCGGAUUAGCUAGUUGGUGGGGUAAAGGCAUACCAAGGCGACGAUCCGUAGCUGGUCUGAGAGGAUGAUCAGUCACACUGGAACUGAGACACGGUCCAGACUCCUACGGGAGGCAGCAGUGGGGAAUAUUGGACAAUGGGCGCAAGCCUGAUCCAGCCAUGCCGCGUGUGUGAAGAAGGUCUUCGGGUUGUAAAGCACUUUAAGUUGGGAGGCGUUACCAGCAGAAUAAGCACCGGCUAACUUCGUGCCAGCAGCCGCGGUAAUAC
rnacentral:rRNA from 1 species